AUGGCUCAAGAUAACACUAAAUUGUGUGACUUUUCCAAUACCAACAACAAUGAUUUUAUUAGCACUCUGAUUGCUCCUACUACCGAUGCUGAAUCUUGUGAAAUUAAUACCGCUUUGUUGAAUCUUGUUAUGAAAGAUCAAUUUUCUGCCCUUCCUAGUGAAGAUGCCGCUACCCAUCUAAACAACUUUGUUGAUUUGUGUGAUAUGCAAAAGAAUAAAGAUGUGGAUAAUGAUAUUGUUAAAUUUAAGCUACUUCCAUUUUCACUUAGAGAUCGUGCUAAAACUUGGUUCUCUUCUUUGCCUAAAAAUAGUAUUAAUUCAUGGAAUAAGUGCAAAGAUGCUUUUAUCUCUAAGUAUUUUCUCCUGCUAAAAUUAUCUCCCUUAGGAACGAUAUUAUGA
rnacentral:rRNA from 1 species